rnacentral:tRNA from 1 species
UAGCUCAGAGGGUAAAGCAUCUGCCUGCAAUGCAGGAGACCCAGGCUUGAUCCCUGG